UACCACUAGGGGUGCCUGAACGGGCUGAGACUCACCCUUAUUACCUGAUCUAGAUCAUACUAGCGUAGGGAAGUGGCAUAU
rnacentral:ncRNA from 1 species